rnacentral:piRNA from 1 species
UGAUGUUUCGAAGCCGCAUGGGUUU